CAUCCCGCAUAGGUUGAUAGACCACUUCUUAGAAAAGCAAGUGAAGCCCAUGGCCAUCCGUUUUGGAGCCCCAUGUUGCUCUAGACCCCUAAGAGAAGAGCAUGGCACCACAGUAUUUGCUAAAAGAUAAAUUGGAAUGGAAAUCAGAACUGAUUUCACUAGGCUAAUCCUACCCACCAUUGAGAGGACGUUGGCUUGUAGGCCCUC
rnacentral:lncRNA from 1 species